rnacentral:rRNA from 1 species
AACGAACGCUGGCGGCAGGCUUAACACAUGCAAGUCGAGCGCCCCGCAAGGGGAGCGGCAGACGGGUGAGUAACGCGUGGGAACGUACCCUUAUCUUCGGGAUAGCUCUGGGAAACUGGAAUUAAUACCGAAUGUGCCCUAUGGGGGAAUGGUUUAUCGGAUAAGGAUCGGGCCGCGGUGGAUUAGCGAGUUGGUGGGGUAAAGGCCUGCCAAGGCGGCGAUCCAUAGCUGGGCUGAGAGGAUGAUCCACCACAUUGGAGCUGAGACACGGCCCACACUCCUACGCAAGGGAGGAGUGGGUGAUACUGGACACUGGGCGCAGGCCUGAUCCAGCCAUGCGGGGUAAGUGAUGAAGGCCUUAGGGAAGUGAAGCUCUUUCACCGGAGAAGAUAGUGACGGUAUCCGGAGAAGAAGCCCCGGCUAACUUCGUG